UAGGUAUACAUCUUAUGGGAAAUAUUUAGGACAAGGAAGCAUAUUUUAAUUAAUUGAUUAGAGUAAAAAGGGGGUUGGAAAUUAAUUUAUCUACCUAAAAUAUUGGGCCAAAUCCUAUUCCUAUUCUACAAAAUCUAUGGCCCAAAAAAAAAAAACGUUCAGCCCAACAAAUUCCACCGACCCGACCCAGCCCACUAAAACAACUAAAUCCCUUAACUAAAGUCCCUAACCCAUUCAUCUCUAAACUAAACUAACCAACAACCCUUUCUCCUUCACCUAACAGCCCUAAACCGAACAGCCACCCCAACGUCAUCGCUGCCACCCCACCUCCCAUCACGUCACCUCACCACCACCACAUCAAUAUCCCAUAAAAUCCGCUACCUACACCCUUCUUCUCUUUUCUCACAGUCCAUCUCUGAAGCUUGCAGGAGCCAUGUGCAAAUUCAGUAGAUUUCAUGGGUAGGUCCCAUCACCCCUUUCACCACCUUAUCUGUUGAAAACGUCCAUUUCCCCCCCCCCCCCCCCUCUUUAAUUCGAAAUUCAAAAGCCUCUAGAGGAAGUUGUUGAAACCCCCUCAGUGUUUACCUAUAAAUGCAGGCCUUCCUUGGCUGUUUUGAGACAAGUUUUUGAAGGGUAGAAAAUCCCCUUUACGAUUGAUAGGUUCAAGUGUUGGAAACUCCUCUUGAAUAACCCAAAAAAUCUCAUCUGUUUUCUUAAAAAAAAAAAAAAAUCUCUCUUUUAACUUUAAGUUUGUUUUUUGUUGAAUUCUAUGGUGGUUCUCGGCUAAACAAGCUCCUCAAGCGGUUUCGGGAGACUCAGAAUACUGGUUUUUUACACCAACCGUUGAGUUUUCACACCCACAAUGGGUUUUGACACCCUAAGAACUCGAACACUUACAAACUCGGCAAAGCCCUGAGUUUCGAGUUCGUAGUUAAAUUUUUGAAGUCAUUUCCAUUCACUGGAAAUUGAUUCGAUGUGAAAGGUGUUCAUCGACACACAUCUCCCCCGUCACUGCUCGGCAAAAAGACCACUGCUGCUACAAACAGUUGCUUGUUUUAAGGCAAGCUGUUGAUAUAAAUAGCUGCUGCUUUGGGAAGUGUUGCCACAAAUUUUUGCUAUUAUGUUUCCCCCCUGAGCUGCCUAAGUUGGGUAAAGUUGUUACUACCCAUUGAGACUCUCAAAAGUGCUGCACAUUGGCUGGCUGCUGUUGUGAUUUUGAGCCAAGUUUUGGGUAGCUUUGGGGUCUAGUGCUACUGUUAUUUAAUGCAAAUAGUUGCUAUAUUUUUUCCAAAGUUCGGAGUGCUGUAUUUUGAUGUAAGGAGCUGCUAUAAUUGGGGACAAUUAUCUACUGUUGUCGUUGCAAGUAUUGAGGAAGAUUGUCGUCAUUUUCUUGAGCUAAAAGUGUCAUAUUCCAUCACGAACAGUUGUUUCAUUUGGCGAGAAUGGCUGCUGUGUGUUUGCUGCAUUUUAUGAGGCAAAACAGAUGCUAUAAUUGAUGUCCCAAUGCUACAGUUAAGAUGAAACAACUGCUGCAUAUCAAGAUGGUUGGGUAGUUGUUUAUGAACCAAUUUUCUGGUAAACAUUUUGAGGGAAUGUGCUGAACUUUAAGCUGUUGUUUGCUGCUAUAUUCCGACUCAUCUCUGCGGUAUUUCGGGUCAACUCGUGGCCUCAUAUUGAUGAAAAUAGUGGCUGUCCUCUCAAAGUUUUAAUGCUAUCCUUGGUGCCACUUGUGACUGCCUACCGUUUCUUUUAUUACCGCAUUUUGCUGCUAUCUAGCAGCUGCUGUCUGUGGCUGCCUAUUGUUACUGCUUUUUGCUGAAAAACGAACAGAUUGCUACACUUGAUAAAGGCUCACUGAUUGAAUAUGAUACAUAGAGCCCGUUUGGAUUGGCUUACAGCUUAAAGCUGUUGCAGCUUAUAAGCUGAAAAAAAUAAGUUAGGUAGUCCAACUUAUUUUUUUUGGCUUAUAAGCUGUUUUCAGCUUAUAAGUUGCUUUAGAUAAACUAAGUCAAAUGGGUCCAAUUAUUUUUUUGAGCUUAUUUUAAGCAUAAAAUGACUUUAAGCUGGCCAGCCAAACACUCAAAAAAGCUGAAAACAGCUUAUAAGCCAACUUAUAAGCCAAUCCAAACGGGCUCAUAACUAGGGCCGAUGAAAAAAAUUUAAUUUGAGGCCAUGCCUUUGUCCGAAAAGGUUAUCCCUCAGUUUAGGCGUUGAUGACCUCAUAGUGGUAUCACAAGGUAGGAACGAACAUGCGUUUGGCGAGGCAACUAGAAUGGCCACUAGUCUGCAGCCAAGACAUGUUUCGGAUUCCUUUGCCAUAUUCGGAACCGUGAGUCUGAGCCUCCGUAAUCAAAGCUCUCAAAGUUUGAUACGAGUCCGCGGGAUAUUAUUUAUGUUCCUAAACGUCACCCUACGGGGUGGCGUAGUCAUUUUUUCUAACAUUUUCCUUUCAUAUUUUUUGCGAGGUACAAAUAACGCGAGGCAGUAGAACAAAGAUGUAUCAAAAGUUGAAACGAAGAAAUUUGGAAGCACGACAUGUUUGGCCGAAGAACUAGAAACGGGGAAAAUAUGGCUCAAGUCUUAAACCUUAUUUAUUUCUAUCUAAAUUUACGUAUCCAAGUAUUACAUGUAUAUUUGGAUCUAUAACAAAUUGCUAACUUAUUUACUUUGGUUUUCCUUCUUAAUCCAGUUGAAACCCGAAGCUUGCCAA